GAGCACAACGUCGAAAGCAGCCGUUGGGAGCCCAGGAGGCGGGGCGCCUGUGGGAGCCGUGGAGGGAACUUUCCCAGUCCCCGAGGCGGAUCCGGUGUUGCAUCCUUGGAGCGAGCUGAGAGCUCGAGAGACGGGGAUUUAGCUAUGUUGCCCAAGCUGGUCUGGAACUCCGGAGCUCAAGCAGUCCGCCCGCCUUGGCCCCCCAAAGCGCUGGAAUUACAGGCGUAAUGCACUGUGCCUGGCCUUUAAAAAAAAAUUGAGUACAGAACCUGCUAAGGCCAUCAAACCUAUUGAUCGGAAGUCAGUCCAUCAGAUUUGCUCUGGGCCGGUGGUACCGAGUCUAAGCACUGCGGUGAAGGAGUUAGUAGAAAACAGUCUGGAUGCUGGUGCCACUAAUAUUGAUCUAAAGCUUAAGGACUAUGGAGUGGAUCUCAUUGAAGUUUCAGGCAAUGGAUGUGGGGUAGAAGAAGAAAACUUCGAAGGCUUAACUCUGAAACAUCACACAUCUAAGAUUCAAGAGUUUGCCGACCUACCUCAGGUUGAAACUUUUGGCUUUCGGGGGGAAGCUCUGAGCUCACUUUGUGCACUGAGUGAUGUCACCAUUUCUACCUGCCAUGUAUCGGCGAAGGUUGGGACUCGACUGGUGUUUGAUCACUAUGGGAAAAUCAUCCAGAAAACCCCCUACCCCCACCCCAGAGGGAUGACAGUCAGUGUGAAGCAGUUAUUUUCUACGCUACCUGUGCACCAUAAAGAAUUUCAAAGGAAUAUUAAGAAGGACUCCUAGAAGUACCCCACCCCACCCCUGCUCCUUGGAGGACAACGUGAUCACUGUAUUCAGCUCUGUCAAGAAUGGUCCAGGUUCUUCUAGAUGAUCUGCACAAAUGGCUCCUCUCCUCCUUCCUGAUGUCUGCCAUUAGCACUGGAAUAAAGUUCCUGCUGAAAAUCCA
rnacentral:lncRNA from 1 species